GUAUAUCUUGUUAGGUUUUUGCAGUCCAACUAAAAGAUAUGUGUAACUAAUAUAAUUCAGGGACAAAAGAGAAGUCAUGAAAUACAGAAAUUAAUAGAAAACUAAUGAUACAACCUCCUUACACAUAACUAAAUUAAUUAAUUACACUAAUCAGAUUAUCUUAAUUUAAUUCAUUACAAAAAUAGAUGAUUGUGAAGAAGCAGCAACAGCAGCAGCAUAGAAAGAAAGAUGUAACUCAUAUAAUUUGAGUAGAAAUUAAAAAACUAAACUUGUUGUUUAAUUAAUCAUAAAACUCAAAUUCAUGAAUCAAAAUCUGUAAAUUGGAACGAAGAAAUUUCAAACAAAAAUUUAGCAAAUUACCAAUUGGAGAUGAAGUAUGAAACUACCAGCUUUCUUCAAUCCUUUUUUCAAUCCUUUUUUCUUAACAAUGGAGUAUGAAGUUACCAUCAAGGCACCAACUGGAGAUGAAGAUGGAUACUGGUUAGAUCGAGUUAGAGAAAGAAGAAGGAGAAGGGAGACGGCUAGGUUUCACAUAUACUAGCAGCUGACCCGUGGUGGUGGUGGUGGUGGGUAGUAGUGGUGGUGGAGACUAAUAAAAAUAGAGAAGGAGAAGAGUUGAGAGAGAGAGAGAGAGAGAGAGAGAGAGAUCUAGUUGCGGUGGUGAGGGUGAGAGAGAGAGAUGGAGUUUUCGGUUGCGGCAGCCAUUAUCGAGAGAGAGAGAUCGAGUUAGGUUGUGUUUUCUGUUUUUGUUAUGUUAUAUAGUCUGGCGAAUAAUGUUGGCGAAUUCGCGGUGAAUAAAAAAACACCUAUUCGGGUGGGCGAAAAAAUGGUGGAUUCGCCGAGUUUUUUAGGUGAAUGGGUGUAUUUUGACAAAAAAAUCCGGUGUAUAAAUAAUUUACUCCAAAUACGCCAAAUUCGCCGAGUCUUUAUCAAACAUCAAAAAUACCGGUGAAACGCGGCGAAUCACCCAUUCACCACGGCGAACCGGUUAUCAAACAGGGCCUAAGAAUAAAAAAUGGGGGGAAUCACCAAAUUUUUGAAAUGGGGUGUCCUAACCAUGGUUUUAAGAAUCGGCCGAGUCAAGUUUGAACCGGCCGGUUGGAAUCGGGAUCGGUGGUAUCCGACUCAAAAAUUCAUUGUUGACUCGGAUCAUCAUAGAAUCGGUUUUAGAACCGUUGAAUCGGUCGAUUCUAUAUGUAAAACUGGAUGAAUCGCCGAGUCAAACCAAAUUUUUUUAUAUAAUUUUGUUUUUUUAAUUUUUUAACUAAAACUUGAAAUCAAUUUCUUUUAUAGUGAUAAGUAAAUUUAUAAAUAAACCAUAAAAUUUGUUCAACCAAGAAAGUUUUCCACUAGAAAGUCUCAAACUUAAUAGUAAAAUAAUAAAUAUUUAUUUAAAAUAAUAAAUAUUAAAUAAAAAAAUUAACAAAGAAUCGGCCGAGUUAAACUUGAAUCAGUGAUUGAAACCGGGAUAGCAUACCCCGAUUCACUCUAAAAAACCGGUUCUUAAAACCAUGGUCCUAACUAUGCAUUUCGAACCGGUUCUUAAAACCAUGGUCCUAACUAUGCAUUUCGAACGGGGUAAUUAGCGCUUUUUUUUUUGUUUUUUGGUAGCAGGCAAAAUAUUGAUAGCUGCCUCAUUGUACAAAUGAGCUUUCACUCCCAUACCAUAUAAUUUGGUCUCACAGUCUGUAACCUUUAAUCAACCUGAGCAAAAGCAAACUCGGAAUCCUAGCUUCAAAUAAACUUGUCUGAUAGCCAGUGGCCACACACAAAUGCCCAAUCGUCUGAGUUGAUUAUUCAUCAAACCAAACUUCUGGAAUAAUUCAACCAUUAUAUGACUAAUAUUGUAGUGGUUUUUAAUGUAAAAGCAAAUCCAGGAGGAGACUGCCUAUAACAUGAAAUCUAGGCUUGGAAGGUCAAACUGGGUCAGUAAUAACAUCAGACAAGAUUAACUUUGGUCUACGUGAAAUAUUAUAGUUUUAGCUAGUAGAACCACAGCACUAAUCCAGGGACAGGCCAAAACAAACAUCACAAAUCAAAGUAGUAACAAAUCCUUGUGAAUUUCAGGAGCAAAGAAAAGGCAUUUAUUUCAAUAUCUAGAGCAUCCGUAGAAGACAUAAAUUAAAAUCCAUUAAGGGACAAUAUGAAGGUACCCCUAUUUCCCUUUUAACUCACAUUUUAAAUACUUGUUCAACUUCCUCAAAUACUCACAAUCUAUACAUAGUUGACUUAGACUAUCAAUCAAACCUAACAUAUGAGUGCAAAAAUAUAAAUAAAAAGACACUAAACUGGAAAAAAAAGCUGCUGAAAAAUCCGCAGUAAUACUGCUACCACUCCUGUUCCAAUUAUUGUGGAGUUAUGCUUUUCAAACAGUCAAUGGUACAAGAAGUUGCAUCCCAAUGAGAUGGCCAAGCAGAGGUGCCCCUUAGUGCUACGUUUCAAUAUCCUGUGUAAAUAAACAAACUAAAAGUUACUACCAAUGAGGAAAAUACAAGUAAUUUAAACUUAAUGGAUACUAUGAUUUAUAGAAAAGAAAAAUAAAAGGACCUCUAAACAUUCUGAGACUGGAUACGUUCACAUCAAUCAGCGGUUACACCUUGGGUUGCACCAAUCAGGCUUCCGUCCAUUCCUCCCGAGGACUCCAUGGCUUGUGAAAUCUCUGCUUUAAGCUUUUCAUGCUUCUCAGUCAAUCCUGAUGAACUCAGAGCCUCUGCAAGGCUCUCUGUGAUUAAAGUUUCAAUCUUACUUUUCAGUUCUGGGUCUGCUGCCUUCCCUGCCUUCACCCACUCCAAUUUGAGCAACCCUAUCUUGUUUUUGAGAUCUGUAGACUCGAUGGCAUCGCCCAUCACUUUCUGAAUUUCUUUGUUCAGUUCCUUAAUCUUGAUCUUCAAUUCAGGUGAUGAAGUCAGUUCACUUAAAUCUUUCAUUCCUGGUGCCACAGGUUCAACUUUCAAAUUUAAUGCCUCCAGCUCUUUAACCCAUUCCUCCUGUAUCUCCUUCCUCACCUUCAGCGCUUUCUCCUUCAAUUCAUUCUCCUUAGUUCCAUCUGCAUACCCGUUACUAGCUACUUCGGCCUUAAAUGCCUCAAUCUUGUCCUUCACAACUGUGGCAAACCUCUUAUUUAAUUCUUUUUUCAAAGUCAAUACUCGCUCACUUUCUUCUGACAAUUUCUUAGCUUUAGAUAAUUCCUUCAGCAUGUCUUGCCUAUACAUUAAGCUUGCAUAGUUAGGAGCCUUCGAUAGGCCCUGCUCGAACUCCUCUGUAAGGUUAACAAUCUUAUCUUGCAAAGCUGGGUCCAGUGGAGCGGAUGAACUUCUCGCCUUUGCAUAUUCCUCUCGCAACACUUUGAUCUUGUCCUUUAAACCCAUGGCUUCAACAGCUAUAGAAUAUUCCAUAUCAAUUUCCCUUUUAAGUUUCCCUAUCAUCUCAUCCACACCCAGCUCAAAAGGCUUUAAUGAUGAUUCUCCCACCUUCAGAAGACCCUGUUUCAGUUUUUCAAUUUCAUCCUCCAAUUCACGGUCCGGUGUUUUGCUGAUAUAUCUCGUUGGUAUAAUGGAUUUUUCUUUCUUUUUCACAAUGGGUUUGUCUUUCUUUUUGAUAAUGGGUUUGUCCGUCUUUUCCAUAAUGGGUUCGUCUGUCUUUUUCAUAAUGGGUUUGUCUGUCUUUAUCAUAAUGGGUUUGUCCAUCUUUUUCAUGUUCACCUUCUUUUUCGGAUCUUUUGGUAUUCCUUCUGCGAAACCACCUAACUGACGGAACUUGUAAUUUCGAUGGUCCAGCAGCUUUUGUGUGUCCAUCUCAAGUAGUUCCUGUACAUAUACAAAAUAUUAUUUUGCUCAGAUCUAAGUCACGAAGCAUAAAUUGUUACAUAAUUAAGGCUGAUACUCACGUCCAUUGCUUCAGUGAUUGCGAUUUUUAUCUGCUGUGAAGUCCAAGCCGAAUCAGCAUGUGCACCACCAAGAGGUUCCUGUCAAAAGGGCAGAGACUAUUCAUUAAAAUGAAUCUGACAUCUCUUAUUGCAAGAAAAAAAAACCCAUCCUAACGAGUGUAAAAUACUCAUGCCUAUAGACAUACUCUUCCUGUAUUCAACCCCUUCAGACUGAUAAGAACUUCGUGUAAGGUGAAUUACAUAAAGGUUUACGGUUUCAUAGCAUAUAAAAUAAUGAAUAAAUUGACACAGAAGAAUUUAGAAUGGAAAGGGAUCAUACAGGGAUGAUUCCAUCACAAAUUUUGAGCUUAGACAACUCUGCAGCAGUUAUCUUCAACUUCUCCGCUGCCUGCAAACACAAGUAAUCUUCCGAUGUCAGAAAUAUUAACUGAAGUAUAUUAUGCAUUAUUGCAGUCACUCAAAGGUCACAACACUGUACCUUUGGAGAAGCUUUGGCAGUCUUCCACAAGAUCGCUGCACAUGCUUCUGGGCUGUUACGUGAAAAGAAGAAAACAGAUUGACACAUGCAGAUGGGACCAUAAGAUAUGUGAUGUGAAAAGUACUAAAGCUGGGAUACUACUUAUUUAUCAAUAAAGUAAACCAGCAGGCGAUAAUGAAGAGGCUCAUAGCAACAGAGAUAGGUCAACCAUUUUGAAGAGCCAUACAAAGUCUUUAUAUUCUACCAUAAUGCAAGAAGAUAGUCAUAUAAGAUAAGAAGGCUUACGAAAAAUAAUUAGUAUACCACCACUCACUGAAAAAAAAAUUAUUAUUUAUUUCAAGAAAAGGUUUCAUGUAUUUGUGUAUCCAUGCAAUCACAAUGUGCACCUCUUACUAGCAUUCCUUUGUGUAUGUUAUCUUUAAAAUAGAUCCACUGGUGACAAUAGAAAAUCUGUGUGACGUAUCCGCCCUCAAUGAACUUUGCCCUUAACAUAAAGGAAUGAAGUGAUAAAUCAAAGUAUCAACUCGAAUUCUUAAUCAUGAUAUAUGUUCCAUAUGCGUUUAUCAUACCAUCACAAAUUCAAACUGAACUACUGAACUACAGCGUAUGUGUCUCUAAUUUGUUUGAUCAUUCAAUUUGCAUAUACAACAUUUGUGUGCCACUUCAAAGUCCAAACAUACGCAAGAAAACCUGGCUAGUAAAUGCCAGUCUAAAAGAACAGCCAGAAAAUAGAAUACAAUUAUGAAACUAGAAUUCUAAAGUUACCUUGCAACAUAGAAAACUGCAUUCUCAAGCAUUAACAAUUUAUUAGCACAUCCAAUGGCCAGAGCACCUCCAGAGCCACCCUCCCCAAUAACAAUAGAAACAAUUGGAACCUUUAGGCCAAACAUAGUCCUCAAAUUGUGAGCUAUGGCUUCACCCUGCAUACAGAUGGUGAGCAUUCAGCGGAGCCACUUAUUGUAAAUAGGAUACAUUUUACAAGAAAGUUCUAAUACAUACUUGGCCUAAUUCCUCUGAUUUGAGAUCUGCAAAAGCCCCUGGCGUGUCAAUGAAAGUGACAAUCGGAAAACCAUGAUGAUCCGCGUAAUACAUAAAACGCAUAGCCUUCCGGUAACUGUAUAAACAUCAGUUUCUCUCUUAGUGUGAUCAUCAUCUUAAAAGAACCUGAGCAUUGAGUUCUAACCAAAAUAUACAGAUGGGUUUUAACCCACGAUUUGAGAACCAAAAUAUACAGAUGGGUUUCAACCCAUGAUUGAGAAGAUCUAUACAAUGGAAAGAAUAAAAGAUAAUUACAUAUCCUUUCCUCUGUCCAGAAACAACAAGAGAUGAUAAUAUUAUUAUAAACUACAAAAUAUUCUUCUUAUGCUUAUUUAAAGCAUGCUAGCCACUGAAAAGAACAUACAUACCCGUGUGGAGUAGGCAUUCCAAAGUUGCGUUUAAUAUUCUCCUUUGUGUUUCUACCUUUCUGAUGGCCCAUAAACAUAUACCUUCUACCAUCAAUGCUUCCAAUACCACAAACAAUGGCAGGAUCAUCAUAUCCUGCUCGAUCUCCAUGGAGCUCUACGAACUAGAUGUAAAUUAAAUAAGAAGUCAUAACAUAACUACUGAGAAAAAAGAAAUGAAAAGGAAGAAACAAGAACAGUAACUUGUAUUACCAGACCUUGUCAGUGAUGUUAAAUAUAUGGUCAAGAAACGUUGGCCUGUUUGGAUGACGUGCAAUGCUUACACGUUGUAUGGGCGUUAAAUGUGUAUAGAGAUCUUUUAAGGCCUGAAAUUAACAUAACAAAAAGUACUUUGAAUGCGUUUGCAGUUUAAAUAAAAUAGUAAUAAUACAUGAAUGUCAUUCAUAGAUAUCAUAUGGUCAAAAUUGCAAUAAAAACCAUUUCUAAGCAUUAAAGUUAACGUCUAGCAAGGAAGAAUUGAUAGAGGUAGUACCAUAGAACAGAAUUAAAUUUAAAAUGUCUACCAACAUGCUCAUUAACAAGUAAAAGGUGUGUGAGAAUUCCAGAAGGGACAUAGUAUAAGUUUUGGGCUUUCCAUUUUAACCUUUACUGACUUCUAGGUGACAUUUCUCUAAUGCAUAAACAGUGUAGUAACAUAUUUCAAUAUUUGAACGCUGAUAGAUUAUUAAACGAAACAAAUUAAGCAUAGCAUAAGAAUUGGCUUAUCCUUCUCUCAAUUAUCUACACAAGCUUUGAUACACUGAUAUGAUUCAAUUCUUUUACUACCUGGUUUCCUCACAUGCUUAAAAUUGAAGUUUUUUAAAAUUAAACAUGGAAGUCAAAAUAGCCAAAGAUUCCAAUAGCACAAAGAAAUCUUUUAGGAAUAUAUAAAUUAAAACUCCAAUUUCAAGAAGACCCAAUAAACUAUCAAACCUGUUGAUACUUGUUUUCCAAAGAGAUGAUCUGAUCACUAAAAUCCAAUCCAGUUUCAUUUGCCAUCUUUCUAACCUGCAUGCAAGAAAACCCGAUAAAUGAAUGAAACUAAAUAACUGAUACAUACUAAAAAUUAAAUAGGUCCUGCAAGCUUUCCACAGCAUAACAAGAUGAAGCAAAAACUUACAUCAUUGAUCUUCUUCUCCAGAUCCAAAAGCGGCUUUUCAAAAUCCAAAGUAACUGGCUUUGGUUUCUCCUUCAAAGGCUUGAAAGGAGAAAGAUGAGUAAGAAUUCCUCCUUUGACAUUUGCAUCUGGAUUUUUAGGCCAUGGAUAUUCAUGCUUCCUCCCUCUCUUUUUUAACUUAGCAAUAACACUAAUAUCCCUUUUCACAGCUCCCAAACGCGCCUUUCCUAAAGACUUUAAUGGAAUACCAACGAUACCAUUACUGGAACUUCGAAGAAGAUCCGAAACUGAUGAAUUCGAAAAUGUUAGUGGAGAAUGAGGUAGUGAAGUCAUUCUGUAGCUCUCAGCAACAAAAUUGCUUCAAUUCUCAACUCAAUUAAUCUCAAAUUCGCUUCUUUUCACCAAUCAAACCUGUAAAAAACAUUCCAAAUCAAUCAAAUUAUUAGUUCAAAAUCAAUAAACUCAAUUCGAUUUUGAUUCAAAACAAGAAACUAUUGAAAUCGAAUCAGAAAACUCACGAAUUGAUAAUAAAUUAGGAAAAAUUGAUUGAGAUCUGAUCUGGCAAUGGUGAAGAAAUCGAGAGAGAGAGAGAGAAGAGAAGAAGAGGAGAUGAAAACCCUAGAAAGUAGAAGAGAAGAGAAGAGAAGAUUGUUUAUUUAGAUAGAAACAUCGAGUUGAUCGACGAAGAUGAAAGAAAAUAAAUUUUUAAUUAGGGGUUUAUGUGGAGUGUAGAGAAGUGUUCGAAAGAAAUCAAAAACAAUUUCGAUAUUUCUUAUGCAUGCAAUUCUACCUCUCUCUCUCUCUCUCUCUCUACUCUGUUUUAUUAAAUGUGGAAGAGUUUUUCGGUUUGGCCGUUGGGAGAUUUGGAGUUGUUUGUGUAAUUGUCAUCUAUUCAUUCACACAUGUGCCAGUUCACUCACACGUGUGUGUUCGAUGUGUUCGAUGGAAUCUCUCUUCAAAGGCUUCACCACUUUCUGCAACACAGUUCAGUUCCCCUAGUGAAUAGUGAUUGACUGAUUUCCAUUGUUUCCACCAGUAACAAGAUUCUUAUUGUGUUAGGCCAGGUAUGGAUCCAAGCAUCCGAGUGUUUGAGACUUGAGAGUGAGGCGGGAAGUAUACUGUAUAUAAACCUACAAUUGACUCCUUCCAAAACUAUAGCUUAAUACUAGUGAAAUAAUAGUUAUUUUCUUGACCAACAGGUGUCUGUGCAUAUGGCAAACUCACAAGUUUGUUUAAUACUACUAAUAUGGAAAAAUCGCAAGGAUAAAGUUUACUCUUAAAUGACCCCAUACAAGUUAUGGAAUCAUUGAAAGCCUUAACAAAAUAAAUCUCCUCUUGAUUAAAAUGUUACACAAGUUUAGGGGAACAUCAGACAUUAGUUUAGGUAAUAAGGGCAUCUCUAAUGGUUCAUCAAAUCUUUCAUCAAAUUCAAAUUUGAUGAAAAAGUCAAAAAAACUCCAUCUAAUGGACCAUCAAAACUUUUUCAAAUUUGAUAUUUUAGCAAAAAUCAUCAAAAGUUCAUCAAAUUUGAUGAAAUUUUGAUGAAAAACUUAAGGUUUGAUACUGGGUGAGGCGGGCAAGAGAAGACCGCUUCACUUAAAUCACUUAAAGCGGCUAAUGAAGUGCCGCUUAAAGUGGCACUUCAAAGCCCGCUUUAACUAAGUGGCACUUGGACAGCCCCAUUAACUAAGUGAAGCGGGUGUUGGAGGCCCGCUUUAGUGAAGCGGUCAUCCAUUAGCCGCUUUAACUAAGUGAAGCGGGUGUUGGAGGCCCGCUUUAGUGAAGCGGUCAUCUAUUAGCCGCUUUGUUGAUGAACCAUUAGAUGGAGCAGAUUUUCAAAGCAAAUUUUUCAUCAAAGUAGCAUCAAAUGUGUAUACGUGGACCAUCAAAUUUGAUGAACCAUUAGAGAUGCCCUAACCCCAUUAAAUAUUUUAUGUUUGUUUACACAAAAUUAUUUGAUUUUAAUGAAACAAAUUAACAUUUUUAAGGAAGUUCAUUCAUAUUAUCAUAAUACUAAUAUAUAGUGUAUGAUUGACUAAUUAGCCAUUACACACACAAAAUAAUGGUAUCCUUCAUUCCUUUGAUCAUAUUUCUAUUUCUAAAUGAUAUCCAACAGGUAUGAGCCAGAUUACACGACAAAGCCUACCGUGCAUUCUUGUUUCUUAUAAAGAUUAGGUGAGGCCGUGAGGGAAUCAGAUCAAGUGCUCAACAAACAUGGGAGCAGGUUGACUAGGUCGGGCAGAUUAAAAUUAACUUUAAAUAUGAAAACCUUGGUUGGUUAAUUGAACCAAAGUUUAUGGGUCGGAGACUGGAGAGCACUGAGCACAUUGGGACCGGAACACAUUACACAUGCAAUUGGUGACUUGGUGUACACUGUCACUGUAGUAAACUACUCCAUAUAAAAACAAUUAAAUCCCAAAUUUAAAUCUGAACAUCAGAUUUACUGUAAAUGGUCUGUGGUCAAAGUAUAAUUAGAUUAAUUUUUCCAUCAAGUUAGUGGAAAAAAUAAAUGAGUUAGGUUAAGGUUGAUGAAACUACCUGAUUGAACAGUGCCCACCUAAGAAUAUUGACUUGGUUAUGUUGGUUUACGAGGGGUGGCCCAAUGUGCAUCACUGUCAGUACAGUAGUACACCCAGACAGUCUUUGAUCGAAGAAACUGUUUACACACCCCAAAUAAAUUUUCAUGCAUGCAAAAGGGAGUAAAUUAGUGGUGUACCUCUAUAACCAUGAAUUAGGAUAAAUAAUUUAUUUAUUUUAAAUCUAAUUCCCUUCCAAUAUACGUUACUAGUAUCUCUCAUGUAGUCAUGUUGUGGCAUUCCACGGUGUUCUUAAAGCAGAUAACAGUAAAGACUAAAGAAGAUGUUGAAAGCCCUUAUCCAUUUCUGCUAUCUCCUAAGUCCCAUCUCCAUUGAGUCGAAAAAGUGGACCUAACAAAAAGCUAGGUCAUGAAUGUAACAUCCGAAUCCAAUAAACAUAUAUAUAUUUUUUUUAAUUAAAUCAAAUUAUAUUGAUAAGCUCAACGAAUUACACAAAAGUAGAUGACAAACGCGCUACAAACUGCGCGACAAGUCCUUUCUGGAUAGCAAACCUGACUCUUCUAAAUACAUAUUUUUUUUUUUUUUUUUUUUUUAUGAUGGAGACAUAGAGGUCUAUUGUUGUCUUAUUAUUUUGUGCUUUGAUUAUUAACGUUUUAUCUGUUUUGAGAACAAAUUUAAGGGCAACACCUGACAAAGAUUAAAACCGAUAAUAUACAGGAUUGUGAUUUUUCAGAGGUAGAUCAAACGGUGGUGUAAUCCAUCUCAACUUUCUCUCCAUGGAACUAGAGUACUAGAUAUGUUUACAAACUUAAUUUAUCCUAAAACAUCUAUAGUAUACAGAUUAAUUUUCUGUUCGAUAUACGUAUACAGGAACUGAGCAUCCACUGCAAGUCAUUAUCAAGAGGGAAAGAAACAGAAUAAAAAACAUUCUCAAGUUGUGUAUGGAAUAGGUCCACUGAAAGGUAAAUUUGGGCUUUUAUAUUCCCAGUAAAUCUGAACUGUAUAAGUUUUCUGAAGCCUUAUUUGCAGGCCCACUUUCGGUCCCCACUGUGAAUCUGCGAUUUCAUUUAACUUGGUCGUGGUUAUUUUCGACUCUGUUUUCCCUCUAAUCGAGAAAAAAAAAAAAACCCCGAGAGAAAUGGCGAACAAGGUCUCUAAUUUCACCGAUUUGAUUCAACGAGUCACCGCUUCUUGCUUACUUAACCCACUAGUCCGAAUUGACGAACUUGAUAAUCAGUCAGUUGAAUACUUAAAAAGCGAAAAAGAUUAUGAAAGCCAAGUAUUAGAAGAAGAAGAAGAAGAAUCAGAGUUGGAAGAAGAAGAAGAAGAAAAAGGGUUUGAAAUUUUAAAAAGAAAGAAAGAUUUGAAGAAAAUGAUGGAAUCUGAAGCUUUAAUGUCAGAAAUGUUUGAUGCAGUUUCGGAUUUGAAGAAGGCGUAUGUUAGCUUACAAGAGGCACAUUCUCCAUGGGAUCCAGUGAAGAUGAGUGUAGCUGACGUGGCAGUAGUGAAAGAGUUGAAGAGGAUUGGGAGAUUAAAAGAGAGGUUUAGAAGAAUGAGUAGAUCAGGAGGAGAGAGAAUGGGAUUUGCAGGGUUGAGAGAAGCGGUGGCGCCGUACGAAGAGACGGUGGAGGAGCUUAAGAGAGAGGUUAAAGCAAAGGAGGCGGAAGUGGAGAACCUUAAGGAGAAGCUCCGAAGUAUGAGUGUGAGUGGGAAGAAGGGGAAGCUUCAGCCAAAGAGGAAAGUCAACGGAAGUCAAGGUCAUGGUAAGGCACUUUCUUAAUUCUUUCUCUUGUGAAACUUGAAAUGGUAUGAAUAGACAUGUUGUGAAUAACCAAGGAGAAUUUUUACUAUGGAAGUGAAAUACAAAUUUUGGCUGUUAGAGUAUUAGGGUACUAAUUGAAUUUUAAAUCUGUAAUCUGUCCUUUUGUGAGUUGUUGCCUGCUUAGCUUUGGUUGAACUAAUAAAUAUCAAAAUAAGAAUUAGGAAAUUAUGCCCUUCAACCAUUGAAGUUGGAGUAUAUAAAUUCUAUGGUAGGUGCAAAAAGACUGUAACAUGGAAGAUGAUUGAUUGAGUUGCCUUUAGUUGGUAACAUUAUUGUAUGUUGUUAUGUGUAAAUUUCCUUUGAAAUAAAUCAUUGAAGAAGAUUUAUGGUGCAUUUAUUCAACUACUUCAGAGGAUUGUCAUUUAUAUAUCUAUACAGACAACUUCUAACUACGUUCAAUCUGUACAACAAUUUGCCACGAACUUCCAAGUUCCAAGUUUUUUGGAACCAAACUUGGAACUUGGCUCCAAAUAUUUUUAUUUUACUUGUAAGGCUAGGAAAAUACACCUCAUUUUUGUUGGUGAUCAGAUUUUUUAUUUUACACACCUCAUGGUCUACACAGGGCACCUUAUGUGUUAUAGUCUUGAAAUAUUUUGGAAAAACCUACAGAAUAUUUUUAUCCAGCCCACUAAAGGUGACUUAUAUUUUGUUGGAAAUACAGUUCCAGUGGCUGCGGUACCAGAGUUGUUUGAAGCAACAAUGAGCCAAGUAAAAGAAACUUCAAAGUCCUUCACAUCAUUACUCCUUUCACGAAUGCGUUCGGCUCACUGGGAUAUCGCUGCAGCUGUUCGAUCCAUUGAAUCUGCAACAAACACCCCCAAUGAUCAUGAAAACACUACCUCAGCCAUUGGAUCUCAUCACGCCAAGUACGCUCUUGAAUCCUACAUUUCCCGCAAAUUCUUCCAUUCAUUUGAUCACGAGACCUUUUACAUGGAUGGAAGUCUUUCAUCGCUUCUUAACCCAGACCAGUUCCGUCGAGACUGUUUCACGCAAUUCCGAGAUAUGAACUCAAUGGACCCAACUGAGUUACUCGGUAUCAUGCCCACUUGUCAAUUCGGCCAAUUUUGUUCUAAAAGGUAUCUGUCCAUUAUGCACCCAAAAAUGGAAGAAUCUUUAUUUGGUGAUCUGGAGCAGAAUCGACUAGUUUCAGCUGGAAAUCAUCCCAGGAGCGAGUUUUAUGGACACUUUUUGAAGGUGGCAAAAGCUAUAUGGUUACUUCACUUGCUUGCUUUCUCACUUGAUCCAUCCCCGUCUAUGUUUAUGGCAACGAAAGGAGCCGAAUUUCAAACAGAGUACAUGGAGAGUGUUGUCAGACUUUCUGGGAGAGGAUUGCCAGUGGGUCAAAUAGUUGGGAUUCCUGUAAGUCCUGGUUUCAAGCUUGGAAAUGGAUCAUUUAUUAAGGCCAGAGUUUAUUUGGUCCCCAGAAAAUGAACCUUUUGUUGGUUUCAUUGUAUUAUGUGUACUUUUUGUACCAGAUGCUUAGUGUGAAUCUAAUCUAUGCAUUGUGCAUUUUUUGUCUUUGGUGGUACAUGAAAAUUUAGAUUCAAAUCCACCUGUGUGUGUGCUGUGUGUAGAUUUUUUUUUUUUUUUGUUGGCAGGGGAGGUUGUGGGGACCUACCCCUUUUAAAUUACGUGUGGAAACUUAUAUCAACAAUCCGCUGUUGACGUGUUUCGAAUCCAAGAUCUUUCCACUUUAUGAGAGGGGUGCUACCAUUGAGCCACAGGCUCAUUUACAAAAAAUUACAAUGUUGUCGAUACACUGAUGAAUGAUUGACUAAAAUGUGCGCAUGCCUUGAUCUGGCUUGUGUAUUGUGUGAUCUUAAGAUUGAGUUUCGAUAAUGCCUUUUUUUUUAAUUGAAAUACAGUGGUUGAACUCUAAAAUGCGUGUUUCAGUGGGGUGCAAAUAUGCAGUGCAACUCAUCUGUGAGUUCUGACAUUGGAGCCAGAAUCAAUUUUUGUGGGCAUUAGCUUUAAUUGGGCCGGUCCAUUAAGAAAAGACUGGCCCAUUAAAUGUAGCCAACAUUUUCCGAACCAAAUUGCUGCAGAAACAGUGAAACACUCUCGUCUUGCCGUUUCAAUCAUACUUUCUUCUCUCUCUAUCUGGUAGUCGUUUGCAUUGUUAUGGCUUGCAGGACUUCUAACGGUACUCUCUCUCUCUCUCUCUCUCUCUCUCUCUCUCUCUCUCUCUCUCUCUCUCUCUCUCUCUCUCUCUCUCUCUCUCUCUCUCUUAAUUUAAAUUUAAAAUUAUCUUUUUCUUCUUACAGAUACUCUACUGCUAAAGCUAAAAGAGGGAAGUGCAGAAUUCGAACUCGUUUCUUCGCCAGUAUCUCCAAUUGCCACUUCAAAGUCUCAUUGGUUUUCUUUUCCCUUUCAAGCUGAUAAAAGUCAUCGAUUUUUUGCUAGAAUUGGUCCUUCUCUGUAAGUUUUUUUUGUUUUAAUUGAAUCUAAACCUUAAUUAAACCCUAUGGGGGAGAAACCCAUUAAGUAAACUCUUGUUGCUUGAAGGGAUGGUGGGGCUUCACCAGCAUUGAAGAAAGUUGAACAAUACUCAGUUCAGAAAGUUACUGGAGAUGGUCGUUGCAUGUUUCGUGCACUGGUAAUACUUUUCACAAAUUGCAAAGCUUUUUAGCGUAUUGGCAUUUCAUCAAACAGUUCCAAUUUCAGUAGAGUUUUCUUGUCUUUAGAAUUUAAAUUGAUCUUUGAAAUGGUAUGUUAGGUAAAAGGAAUGGCUAUGAACAAGGGUAUCUCUCUCAGCUCCCGCGAAGAAAGAGAUGAUGCGGGUAACUUCACAUUAUUAGCUAGCUCAUUUGGUUGUUUGAUUUAACAAUGAAGGAUUAUAUGUAGAAAACAUUAUGCUUUAGUUGACGAGACCGCCAAUGGCAGAGCCAGACAUUGAGGUCCGAAAUACUUUAUGUGUAUCCAAUAAAAAUUUAGAUUCUUUUUAUAGUGUAUAGACCCAUUGGUAUAAAGGCUGAAGCUGACUUAAAAUCAUUAAACCAUAGUUUACCAGUAUAAGUUGAAAUUCUGUUCAUUAAGAUUCGAUGUCAUUCCAGAUUAAUUUUAUACAAUUUUGUGUCUUAUUUCCAAUGGAUUUGUUACAAUCACAAUUUGGAGAAAUUGUCCGAAGUUGAUAUAUUCGAUUCUGUUUUCAUGUUUUUGGCAAAAGAUAAGGCUAGCCUCGGGGCUUUUGUCUUCCCUGAUUACUAUGUCAUAUUUGAUCAAUUUGUGCCUGCCCUCCAUAAAAGUGAGCCGGCAUACGAGACUGUAAUAUGUCGUUACUGAUCAAUUUGUGCCUGCCCUCCAUAAAAAUGAACCAGCAUACGAGACUGUAAUAUGACUCUAAUUAUGCAUUUAUGCUUUAUAUUCAGUUCAGUUAAUAUAUAACUAUGUAAUCCAUCCGCAGUCCAUCUGUCUUAUUGUUUAAUAUCUUGUAUUUGAUAUAUGUGAUGUGUUUUGAUAUCAAUGUGCCAAUUGUGCAUCUGAAGCUCUGGAAGACUGGCGUUAUAACUUAUAAGUUAUAAGCUAUAACUACAUAUAAAGAAACUUGUUGUAGUUAGUGUUCAGACUUCAGACUAUAUAAAGAAACUUAUCCUUGAUUUUAACUAACACAGAUGAACUGCGGAUGGCUGUAAAAGAAAUUAUAUGUGAAGGUGAUAAAGAACGGAGCAAGUAUGAAGAAGCUUUGGUGGCAAUUACUGUUGAUGAAUCCUUGCAACGGUAUUUCUACAAAUCAAAUUUCCUGUUGUAGCUGCAUUUUAUUAUAUGCCAUCAAUUGAAGAUGUCACUUGAACUGACAUGAAUACAUGCCAUUUCUAGAUACUGCCAACGUAUUGACAGAUCUGAUUUCUGGGGAGGAGAAUCGGAGUUAUUGGUCAGUUUUCCAUAGAUUUGUGAUUGAGUUCUUUCCAAUUCUCUUAUCUACAGCGUCUCUAUUAAUUUCUACUUUGUACAGCUUCUGGACUUGAGGCAUGUUUUUGUUGUAAAUUACAGGGCAAUAAAUGCUGCCACAUUACUAAAAAUUUGCAGUAGUGUCGGCAUCUGUUGAAUUGAGUACAUUGAUUAACUGUUUUUAACUUCAUAUUAAUGACCAAUUCUUCUUCCUCAGGUGUUGUCAAAGUUGUGUCGUCAGCCAGUUAUUGUGUACAUACCAGAGCGAGAGGUACUACUUUUCAGUUUUCACAAACAUUUAAAUACUUCCAUGAAAACAUGAGAAGGGUGUUUUGAGAUUACCAAACUAUUUCCUCAUACAUCUAAAUAAUUGCAUAAGUUUUGCACACACUUCAGUACUUCACUGUUUCCCUUCUACUUUUCCUCAUAUUUGUAGCAUCUAUUGUUAAAAAGUAUUGUUCUUUGGAGAGAGGCUAGGCAUCUCGUUAAGCUGUGUUGCUGGUGUUGUCAAUGUUUGAGGCUAAAAUCAAAGAUGUCUUGAAAGAGAUGUAUGAAUGACUGGAUAGUAUCAUGGUAUUGCCUAAACUUGUCUCUUAUUAGUGAAGAAAAGAGAACAAACAAUAAGCUAGAGUCCAUCUUUGAUUUCAGCCUAACAGCCUCAGGAUGCAUGUAUUAUUGCAGAAGGAUGACCUCAGAGAUAACUGUCUGUUUAUAUGUACUAUGAUAAUGUCUACUCAGAAAUAUAAGAUGUUUUCUUGAAAGAUCUACAUCUACUGAUGAUCCCACCAUUCCAAUUGCAGCACAAGGGGGGAAGGGGCACAGGCUUUAUUCCCAUCGCAGAAUAUGGGACCGAAUUCAGUAAAGCAGCCAAAAAGAGUAAACCACCAAGGAAGGCAGUGAGGCUUUUGUAUAGUGGCAAGAACCACUACGAUAUACUUGUUUGACGCUAACACAAGUCAUUGUAACAAAUAUUGAUUUUGACAUGUAAUAGUUGAUACAAUCCAUACCAUCUUAUGACUCUUCAGUAUAUGCCCAAAUGUUGUCUCUUUUUUGCUAGAACUUUAUUUAUGCUGAAGCAGCAUGUUUAUAUCAUCUCCCAGAAGCCCAGAAUAAUUACUUGUUGCAUGUCUGUCACAAUAUACACUUGUCUGUGCACAAAUUACUGCAGAUUUUGUUGUUUGUCCACAAUACAUGCAUCUGAACUUCUUCACUCUUGAAGUGUCCCAUAGACAAUCAAUUCCAGAUUGGCUUCAGAUUAACAUGCAAUUUCUUCUUUAAGAGAUAAAUGUUGUAAAUGCGAAUUGCCAAUUUGCCAUUGGAAUGGCAAAAUGGACCAAAUGACAGGAUUUGCCUGAGCUCAAAAGUGUCAAACUACUCAAAUGAACUACAUACAGUACCCAUAAAAGACCCGACAAUGGUUUUACACGUGGCAUAAUGGUCUCACACGUGCUAUCCAGUCAUACCCACGUGGGAUAAGAAAACAAAAGAAGUGUUUUACCACGUCAUCGAAUAUUGACACAAAAAACUAUAAAGGUAAGUGUCAAUGACGUGUCAGUUUCUGAGUACUUCCCAUAGUGCUCGGAAGUUGUAUCAUCGUAAAAAGGAAAAAACCUUCUUCUCACCGUAUUCUGAAAGAACAGAAAUUUGGGUGAAAUAUAAAACCGAUAAAUAAGAGAAUUUUAUUUUCUAGGGUUUCGAAUUUCGAUAGUUUUUUCUUCUGGUUUUUAUUUGAAAUAGAGAAAGAAAGAGAGAAAUUGAAUUUUGCAAUCGGCGUAGAUAGAGAUGGAAGGUCCAAGUAAUGGUGGAAUGUUAUAUCACGAGGUACAAGAGUCAAAACUAUGUGCGGUACAUUGUGUGAACACAGUAUUACAAGGUCCUUUCUUUUCUGAAUUUGAUUUAGCGGCUUUAGCUUCUGAUCUUGAUCGAAAAGAACGUCAAAUGAUGCUUGAAAGUGGUGGUGGUGAUGUUGUUGAUUCUGGUGAUUUCCAUCUUAUGGAUACUGAUGAAUCUCAUAAUGUUUCUAUGGGUGGAGAUUUUAGUAUCCAGGUUUGUUUUCUUUACAACAACUUUUCUUUGGAUCGCAGUGUAAUUUUACUUCUAAAAGAUGUGAAUUUGUUGUUUUUGCUUUUCGUUUUAUCAAAUUGGGAUUAGUGAUUGAAUAAUUAGAACUUGGACCUUGUGAAAGUGAGGUGUUUGUGAGAGAAAAUUUGUUAAAUUUCAGGCUUAAGGAUAUAAGUUUUAAGUAAAGUUUGUGUCUUUCUGAACUUUGGAUUGAGUAAGUUCACUAUUCUUAAGCUUGUGCAAUACACAUAAUAAAUUAAUAACCCUGCUCAGAAAAUUUUAAUAUGUAGUGUGAAUUAGGCAGCUACUUUUACACAAAAAUUACUAUAUCAUUGAAUGUCCUGUGACUUGUAAGAAAGAAUGUGAAUUAGGUUGUUACAUAGGCAGGUAUAGUGGCUUGAAUGGAUGCCUUUCACCGUGAAUAGGGGGUGGACUGGUGGAGUCCUUACUUAGAUAUUCAAUUUGAAGAAAAAAAAGGAAUUCUCUUUGACAUGCUUCUGUAUAAUUCCGACAAGUAGAACAUGAUUUCUAUUGCAGUUAUGCACCAUCUUGAAAAGCUAUAUGUUUUAAUUUAGAUGUUCUCAGCUAUAUUUAAGUCCUCAAACCAGAAAGUGAGAAAACUAUUGCAGUUAGUGACUCUAUUACCUAAUUCUCAGCAGCAAUCAAAUUACCCUGAAAGAAAAAUUAAUUAUACGAUUUGUUGUUUAAGCCAGUUAAGAGACUCAGAAAUUAUUCUUUAUAAAUAUCAAAAUCAAUGCAAUUAUGGUAAGAUUAUGUUGUUGUAUAUGUUGUUCCUAUGACAUACACAUCACUGCUAAAAUAAUGAGACAUACUUCUGGGGCCUUGAGCUGUAGAUUGUGCCAUUGUGGAACCAAUCCUGUUUAUAAUAACAUAAGAAAAUGUUUCCAAUAGAUUGUGCCAUUGUUCAUUCUUUAAGUUAAUGAAAAGAUGGUUUUAGUAUGAAGUUCUUGCCGAAUUCCUUUUGGAUAUAGCCAUCCAAUUGUGUCAUCUGAUCCUUAUCUGUUGUAUAUAUGAUUUGUUUGGCUAAUACUUGGACAGCUCUCCAUUAUCUGGCACUAUAGUAUCCAUUAUCUGUCUCUUAAGUUGGAUUUUUAUCGUUUUUAUGUACAAAUUGAUUAAGGUGUGAAUCCUAUAGGUUAGAAGAUUGAUGAAAGUUUGACUAUAUUUUGUUUUCAAGAGACUACAUAUUAAAUGUCAUUUGCAUAAGUGUUGGUCGAAUCAUGCAACUUGUUGUAGCAGCACAGUAGGCUAACGGAUCAUAUUAGAAAAUGGAAAGAUUUGUACCUGUGGAAGCCUUAAGUUUCUGUGAUCUCAUCAGUCUAGUAGUAGGAGUGUUAAAAGUACGGAUAAAGAUGUGAAAUUCAUAACUUUUGUUUGUUUUGAACUCUCCUCCGAAGAGCCGGCCAAUUUUUAAGGAGCCAUCUCAUGAGGACGAUAAAUAUGGAUGACAAAUAUGAGCAUCAUAAGAUAUGUGUCUUGAAGCUUCUUUGUACUAGUUGGGUGAUUUUAUGUUAGCUGGAAUAUGAUGAUUUUAUCUUCUUGAAUGGUGCACACCCAUUUAUGACAUGCUUUGGAUGGGUAGAUGAGAUUUCCAUAUUUUGCAGAAUAUCUCAUGGAUGUUCAGUUUGUGUUUGUUAAUAAUAGAAGUAUAAAAUAGUUGUUAACAUCUUUAAAGAGGAGUAAUAAUUGUGAUUUAUGUUUUUUGGUAAUAUAAGUGUUUUAUUAGAUAAGUGAACAUCAGUGUUAGUACGUUAUAUGUCAAAAAGCUGUUUUUUCAGACACGUGGUGUAUAGUAAACUAUGCCUGUGUCUGGGUUUGUUAUAAGUGUAUUUAACUAAUUGACUUGGUUUUCUAGGUAAAAAGGAAGGGAGAAAUGCUAAGAUUAUUGUUGAAAGAGCCAAUAUCUUUUUCAUUAUUUGGGCUAUCUCUAACUUUAUAGAAUGUGUCUUUGCAUGUGCAGGUCUUAGAGAAGGCUUUGGAGGUAUGGGAUUUGCAAGUUAUUCCCGUUAACAGUCCGGUUGCAGAACCUGCGCAGAUCGACCCUGAGCUAGAAAAUGCAUUCAUCUGUCAUCUGCAGGAUCACUGGUUCUCCAUCAGAAAAGUAAAUGGGGAGUGGUAUAAUUUUGACAGUCUCUAUGCUGCUCCUGAGCAUCUCUCUAAGUUCUAUCUCUCAGCAUACCUCGACAGUCUUAAAGGCUUUGGUUGGAGCAUUUUUCUCGUCAGAGGGAACUUUCCCAAAGAGUGCCCAAUGUCAUCUGCAGAAUCUUCGAAUGGUUAUGGGCAGUGGCUCUUACCUGAAGAUGCGCAGAGAAUUACCAAAUCUUGCAACUCCACUCAAUCCAAUCCUCCACGACGUAAUAUCUCUCAGUCAAACUCCAAUCCGUACCAACCUUUUACAGAAGAGAGUUUUUCAGACUUGGAAGAAGAUGAUUUGAAGGCUGCAAUCGCUGCCAGUUUAAUGGAUUCUGUUCCUGCUAGUAGUAGAUCUGGCAUUACAUCUGCUCCUGUUGCUGCUGAAACUGAAAUAAUUUCUUGCCCUGCUCCCGCUGAAACUGGCAUUUCUGAAGAUAAAAAAGAUGCAUAAAACUGCCAUACAGAAGAGGAGGAAGAUCAUGCUUAUGGUGGUCUGGGUUGUGCUCUGUCUCUUAACAUUUUUAAGUUAUGUGGUUUAGUUUUUGGUUUUGUUUACCCGUCCUGUACUGUCACUUCCAUUUUGGUUCCUCUCUGUUCAUCCUAGUUUUACUAUGAAGGCUUUACAUGGGAUAACUGCUACAUUGCUUAAAGAUUAAAUGAAAAGCAUACAAAGUUGGAAAUGAUUAUGAUACAUUUGUGAAUGUGGAGUUGUAGCAUUUGAUUGAGUUGUUAAUGCUUGUAGUAGGUCUUGACUCUAGAUCUGAUUGGCAUUGGCAGUACUGACUGUUUUUUUUUUUUUUUUGUGUGCAACUAUUGUAAAUGCGCCUAUGUCUGCCCCAGAGAGCAAGUGUUUUGGGCUUUUGGAGAUGCAGUCUCUAUAAUGGCAAAAUAAUGGUUUAAUCAUCUACUGGCAUGACUAAAACUUUAUGUUUGUGCUGCUUGCUGGCAUUACUGGAUUUCCAGACUGAGCAUAGCAUGAUGCCAUGAUUAGAUAACAAAAUGAUGGUUGUGUUGAUUUCGAUAAAAAGUAGAAAAAAUAAAAAAUUGACGCACACCCGGUGGGACUCGAACCCACAAUCGCCUGAUUAGAAGUCAGACGCCUUAUCCAUUAGGCCACGGGUGCUUUUUUUACUGAUGUUUGUCACAUAAUUCUAUUAAUCCAAUAAACAUUGCGAUCCUAUUGACUUCAGCAAUAACCGUAACAUCCAGGUGACAGUCACUUUCGCUUUAUUCGAUUGUCUUCCUUGCUCAUUGCUGCAACAUGUUCAUUCGAGCAGGUAUCCAUACCUUAUGAUUCAUGAAGCUGACCAUGUUGCCAACUAAACUUUGGAUUACUAAAUCUUGACAUCCUACACGCUACACCCCCAUUUCUUAUUGAAUUAAAAUUAGUAAAGCUUUAGUUUGAUUGUAUCACUGAAUAUCAAAUUAACAUUCCAUGAUACACAAUCUACUGUAAAGAAAGAAAUCAUACUCCUUUUCCACAAAUUUUCUCUUACAAACGGAUAAACAAUCUAUUUGUGAAGAUAAAAGGCCAAACCACCAAGAUUUACAAGAUUUUUGGGGCCAUAUAUGGCUAUAACUUAAGCACCCUUGAAAUCCGUUUAUUACUCCAUUUGGAACAUGAUGGCCAGUUGGCCACACAUUGACCUAUUUCGGACGACCAGUAAGCCUGCACCAGCGCACCUGGUACGUCUGGGGAAGGAAUUAGGAAAUGGCAGCUUUGGUUUUCGGCUUUCAUCUGAUGGACGUGGUCUUUUCCAUACCCCAGGCGAUAAAGGGUUGCUGAUGUUCUGCCAGUAUAGCAUAGAUCAGUGCACUGUUAAAAGGAUCAUUGAUGUUUUAGUUUAUUGUACUUGCGGGAGGGGAUUAUGGCUGGAAUGCUGGAUUGUACUAAAGGACCCUUAUGGGAAUUGCGUGCCUUGUUUUCAAAUUUAUAUAUGUUACAAGCUGAGGAACCCGCGCUACGCACCGGGGUAUGAGAAUAAGUUUUAUUAGACAAUCCGUAUUACUUAUGUUUGAUUAAUAUAUGUUUUGGCUAUUUUUUGUGUUUUGAUUUUGAUGAUUUGAGAGGUUUGUGCUUAAUGGGAGAGUGGAUAAAAAGUCUAGAGAUUUUUGGUUUAAUGAAAAAUGGAGAAAAAGAGAAAAACAAAAAAUAGUUAUAGAACUAUUAAAAUAACUAAUUAUAUUUUUAUUUUUAUUUUUAAAAAAUGAGAAAAUUUGUGAGAGCUUGAAAAUCAUUUAGGAUGCCACUUAGGAGAGAGAAUGCGGGACCGCAUGGGUCUAGCUAUUAUAUAGAUACUAGCUGUGGACCCCGUGCUAUGCACCGGGAUUAGAGAUUUUGUAAGAGAAAUUUUCUAUAAAUUUUAAACUUAUAUAAUUUUUAAUUAUCUGUAUUAAUUUUUUUUAUUUAUAUGUACAUAUAAUAAAUUAUUAUGUUUGGUUAUAUUUGAUUAUUAAUUUGUGUUUUGAGUAUAUUUGUUGUUUUUAUUUUAUUUUGAUUGAAAUGUUUGUGUUUAUACUUUAUUAGGAGAGUGGAGAAAGUGGGUAGAGAUUUUUUUUGGUUUAGUGAAAAAUAGGGAAAAGUGUAGAGAAAUACAAAAUUUAGUUAUAAAACCAAUUAAUAUAAUUUUUUUUUAAUUUAUUUUAUAGAAGAAAAUAUGUGAGAGCUUGAUGAUCAUAUAGAGUGCCACAUAAGAGAGAGAGUGUGGGAUCCAUUGGGUCUAGCUAUGAUAUAGAUACUAGCUGUGGACCCAAAGCUACGCAUCGGGAUUGGAGAUUUUUCAAGAGAAAUCUCGUAUAAAUUUUAAAUUUAUAUAAUAUUAAAUUUAUCUGUACUAAUUUUUUUUUAUUUAUAUAUACAUAUAAUAAAUUAUUAUAUUUGGUUAUAUUUGAUUAAUUUACGUUUUGAGUAUAUUUGUUGUUUUGAUUUUAUUUUUAUUGAAAUAUUUGUGUUUAUAAUUUAUUAGGAGAGUAGAGAAAGUGGAUAGAGAUUUUUUGGGUUUAGUGGAAAAUGGGGAAAAAUAUAGAGAAAUACAAAAUUUAGUUAUGAAACUAAUUAAUAUAAAUUGUUUUUUUUCUUUUUUAUUUGUUUUAUGAGAGAAAAUUUGUGAGAGCAUGAUGAUCAUAUAGAGUGCCACAUAAAAAAGAGAGUGUGGGACCCAUUGGGUCUAGCUAUUAUAUAGAUAUAUAGACUAGUUGUGGACCCGUGCUACGCACCGGGGUAGGAGAUUUUUGCUUGUUACAACUACUAAAUGCAAUAGUGUAUUUAUCAAUAUCAAUAGUAUUUAAAAUGAAAAAUUUGAAAUUAUGUAAUGAAUUACUUUUGAAUCCAUAAGCCUCUUAUUAGGAAAGUAUACCCAGAUUUGAAAACAAUUAAUGUGUUCUAAAUAAGCUUUUACAUUGAACACCAAGCCAAGAGGGAGUUUUUUUUUUAUUAAAAUAUACCCAAACUAAGUUACGUACAUGUGCGCGAACACAGAUAAAGCUAUACUAUCAGCAUACAAAAUAGUAGAUAAACUCCAUCCAAGGGAUAGGUCAUAGGGACUGUGAGCUUUUGAAGUUCUUGUGGAUGAUCUGGUUUAUGCAAAUGAACCAUGGUACCCUGUUGUAGACCCCAAGCCAGGAGAGAGUUACUAAUAUUAUUUGACACUAAGAAUUGAUUUGCAUAAUGUCAGAUCUAUAUACUGUAUCAUAGCUAUUAAAGGGUUUGGCGGACCCUAACUUGUAUUCAUAUAAUCGAUAAUCAAUCGUUCCCUUGCAUACAUUGUCCCAAUUUUAUCCUCGUGUAGUAUAAAACAUAUAUAAUAUGUUCAACCUGUCUGCUACUCUGCUGCCUUGUUUGUUUCUCUAUAAACAUGUGCAAAACUCAUAUCUUCAAACUUAGCUGUUCACAGUCUAAUAUAGCCUUGAUUAUAUUCAUAAAGUACCAUGCAUGGUGGUCCUUCCAAACCGUUUAUUACAUUGAUAGCUCUUAGAUGCGUCAUGGCCAGUCAAGGUUUUUGUCUAGCAUUGGAUUGGAGGCAACACCAUGUACCGAGAGCACUAUUUCCAGCAAUUGGUUUGCAAUUGGAACACCUGCUCACGCCUUAGAAGCAAAGGAGCUGCCAACUCUUAGAAUUAGUAGUAUAUAAGGUUACUUUUUAUAUACUUGGUCUGUGAAACAUCUUUCACAACCCCAUCAACCUUUGAUAUUUACUAAUGAAAGUGCUACUAAUGGUAUCGAGGAAAAAAACAUUGAUAUCUCUUAGAGUCUGAGACAACCUCUAGUUUUUUAAUUUGCAUACAUCCAUUCUUUUAUCAAUGGUGGUUAUUUCUUGCAUCAAAAUAUUAUCACCAUAUCCCCAUCUAUUUUCUGCAACAGAGCCGUAACAAUUCAGUUUUACAUAUCCUUUGAAGGUUUCUUCCAUAUGCAUUGUUUGACCUCCUCCUUUAUUAUUUUGGUAUCAAUAUCAAGCCUAUGUAAAAGUACACGCAUUUGUACAGUGCCUUUCACUUCUGACAGCCUGGUCUGUAAGUAGAGUUUCAUCUCCUCCUUUAUUGGUGCCCUUGAGUUGUUGAAGUUUCUGGCGUUUCUCUCCUUUCACAGUUCCACACAUGGUAGAUAGUUGCACAAAUAUAAGCUUUCUGAAUUUCUGUUAUAUCAUUAUUAGAACUGUAACUUCUGAAUACUCUCCUUCAUUCAAUAUUAACAUCAGGUGCCACAUUUGUAGACUAAAUCAACUCUUGAUCUCUUUCCAUAUCUGGAUUGUAUAGUUGCACGUACGUGUAGAAUAAAUGCUUUGAGUUCUCCCUUGCUCCUCUACAAAAGAUACAUUCUCAAUGAUGGAGAAUCUUUCUUUGGAUUAAUCUAUCUUGUGUUGGAAGAUGGGCAGAUGACAGUCCCCCUGAAAAUAACAUCCGCCCGAGCUGUAAAGAGUAACAAAGUGAUGUUGAACAAUGUAGUUUUGCAUUAUAUAGUAUGGCCCUUUAUCCUGAGAUAUUUCCUAGUGUGCCAUAACAGUAACUCAGUUUGUAGUGCAGUUCAAGAAAUGGUUCAAAUACAAACCUUUAAUCUGAGAUAUUUUCUAGUGUUUCUUCAUACUUGAGCAUUUUGAUGCUAACCAAGACAAUUAUGAUAAUUGUAUUAACAUCUAAAAUCUAAAUGUCGAGUUUCUGAUGGUAACAUUGUAAUUCUGCUACAAUAAGCUAACCAAGUAAACGCAAAAAACAGAUACCAGUACACAAAAGAAAUUAGAUGAACACCUGGAAUCCAAAUAUGGUAUAAAAAAUUUUACACACAAAAUAUACAUUUACUAAUAACUCACACCUACAUGUGAUUGUUGUAGAUGAGAGAAGUGUGAAACCUCUUGAUGCAUACAACAUUGAAAAUUCUGGGAGGCGUAUAUCGUGACAUAUUCCUAUACCUAUACGAUUAACAUCUGUAAUAUACUUUCACGUAUCAAAUUUUGAAAGCACCAUUUUCUUUGUAUCAAUAAACUAACCAUAUGACUGCAUGUUAUUCAGGCUUAAAAAUAUCAUUGGAAUUGGCAAAGUAAACAAAAAAUGCAAAUUCAUCUUCAACUUGGCUAAUGUUAUCACUGUUUCAGGUUUAUGUAUCUUAUUGAAGAAUGAAGUCCAGCAUAUAUCUGAGAAAUAAAUGUCUUAUUGAUCAGAUCUUUCUGUUUGUUUUCCAUGUAUCCCACUGGAACAUACAACAUUUGAUAUAAAAAAAUGAGACGUUAACAAUGCCAACUCUAUUAGAAGUGAAACACUUUUUCAUUUGUGUUGUUUAUGCGUUGAUGUAAUUUGAUUACAUUCUAAUUAAAAUUUUGCUUAUAAAAAAAAAACCCUCUAUUAAAUUAGAAGUCACACGCGAUAAUACUUUUUCCACCACUCAAGUCACAAAAUAAACAUGUUAAAAGUAAAUACCUCUAUCAACAACUGUAGGUUUAUCAUCAGCAGUGUAGGCGUCAGAUUCCAUCAAAAAGAAUUCUCCGAGCAUGUUAAUGUCAAAUAGAUAUACCUGUGAAUCAUCAAAACGACUCGUAUAAGUAGCAAGAAACCAACAUAUUACAUCACUGAUUAAUUUAAAGCACCUAGGUGCUUCAGCUUUUCAUGGGAUGAUCAUGAAAACACCGAGUGAUAGAGCAUUUGGGGAGGCAUUGACAUUCGACUCAAUUACCUUCCUAUGCUUUAGCAAUUAGUUUUCCAUCUACUCGCUCCAAAUACACAAUUGGUAUUAUACAACCUCCCACUACAAUGUUCUGGCACAGCUCCACCAACUAUAGUAAUGCCUUAACUCCGGGCAACUUCUGAUAGCAUCAUGAAUGAUGAGGAAAAAAAAUCAAAUAAACAACUUAAGCUUAAUAUUAAGACAUUAAGUUACCAAUCUAAUCUAAGUUAAUAUGAUCAAUAAAUGUAAAAGUAGUAACAAUCAUAUUCAUGAUCAGAUUAUGAGAGUUGUGAAUGGAGGAUACCAUAUAUACACAAUUUGGCAUUGUGCCAAUACCAUGGAUUGUAUAUACUUUAUAGGAUAUAGCCUCAUGUUUAGGUCCGGGCAACUUCUGAUAGCAUCAUGAAUGAUGAGGAAAAAAAAAUCAAAUAAACAACUUAAGCUUAAUAUUAAGACAUUAAGUUACCAAUCUAAUCUAAGUUAAUAUGAUCAAUAAAUGUAAAAGUAGUAACAGUCAUAUUCAUGAUCAGAUUAUGAGAGUUGUGAAUGGAGGAUACCAUAUAUGCACAAUUUGGCAUUGUGCCAAUACCAUGGAUUGUGUAUACUUUAUAGGAUAUAGCUCAUGUUAACUACUGGUUGUAAAAUCCUCAAACCUCCAUCAACAAAUACCAAGAUUUUAUUUGAUGAGAUCCAUACCAAAAACAAUACCAUACAUUGCGUAUUGAUGGUGUCUCAACAAUAGCCUCUUUCAUGUGAGACAAUAAAGCUUAAAACCCUAGGAAUUUUUUUUGAAUUGAGAUGGAAAAAUAUUUAGAAGCCAAUUGAAACCGUUAAGUAUAAGUAGAAUAGAGUAUCUCUAGAGAAUUCAAAGUUUCUAAGGCAAGUUCACAAUUUAGAAAGAGAAAAAUACCAUUCACAGAUUACAAAGUGAAGAAAAAACUUGUUAAGCGGAUAACAUAUCAUCAAAUCAAUACUCAAAUCCUUGGGAAUUUCUUGCUGAUGUGAAGCUACCUUUCUUAAACGCAAUGAAAUACAAUCCUGCAAACAAUGAUUAUCCCGUCAUGGCUAAUACCCUUAUAUCCAACAGUUUAAUAAAUAAGUAGUUACAAAUUGAAUAAAACUAACACUUACAGAACUGUAUUAACCAUUUUUGUGAGGUUGGUCAAUACAUUAAUGAAAGAUGAUGAUGUGUAUGAUAUGAACAAUAAUAAAGUAGAGACGUGAACACCAUUGUAUACGUGGUUCGGCAAUUGUGCCUACAUCCACGGAGAGAGAGAGAGAAUGAACUUUAUUAUAGUAGUGGUGAUACAAAAUGGGAGCUCAAUAAUGGAGAGAGCUCAAGAGAGAGAUGAGACCUGAGAGGUGAGGUCUCAUGAGAGAGUGUUGAGGUCUUGUGUAUGAUUCACAAUGAGACCAUGAGAAGAUGAGUAGUUUGCCUUUAUAUUUAUAGGCUACAAUGUAACUCCAUUCUUAGCAAUUAAUAGGGUAAUAAUGGGGAAAAUAUCUUUGUAAUAAUAAGGCUUAACUUUGUAACUUGUGCCAUCAAGAGAGAGCUCAUUAGAUGUUGACAUGUGGCACCAUGAUGGACGAUAGAGAUGGUGCCACAUGUAUGUUGUAUAUAGUACCCCUACAUAUAAUCUUGAAUACUUACAAAGUAACAAAACUAAUAUGGGAAGAACUUACUGCGAGUGUGAUAUUUGUUUUGCUGAUCUAGUGUUUGAUGUGGGUGAAAAGUAGGGUCAGAGGAGAAAGAAGAUAUGGAAGUUGAUACAAAUGGAAAAGAAACCCACCUAGUAAAUUUUUUUCCUAAUCUUCAUGGAUAAGUGGAGAGAGGUUCCAAAGUUUGAAUGCAGUUGAAAGAGUUGUGGAAAGAGUCAGAGAGGAAGAGUUUGGGAUUUUUUGGCAAGAGUUUUGUGCCACGUAAAUUCUAAUAACCAAUCAAAAAAAUCUGUUUUUUAUUUUGCAAAAUUAAAAAAAGCUGAGAAAAAUCGAGAGAGCUUUCCUCUUAACUAGACACCCACAUAAGAAAGAGAAUGUGGGACUGCAUGAGUCUAACUAUUAUAUAGAUAUAGACUAUGUGAACGGGCACGUGUAUGCGUGCAGGGAGUUAAGACGUAUAUAAGAAGAAGAAUAGGUGGGUUCAGGUGAUGGAAUCUAUUAGAACAGUUGGACCUACAAUAAUUUUUUUUUUUUUUUGGUUGAAUAAAUUGAUAAUUGUUUAAAAAUCCGGAGUUGAACGAAAACCUGCUGCAAAAUAUCUACGUGGCAGUUUCUUAUAGGAUAUAAGAUGGGCUUUACUGUAGCUAAAGGCAGGUUGCUUUACGAUUAGUAAAGAUUUGAGCCCAAUAGUUGUGUAUGUGUGUGUGUUGUGAAUUAUGUUAUGUGAUAUGUGAACUGUGAAGUACCUCUUUGUCCUCAAGUGAAAAGGAGAUGGAAACCAAAGCUUGUUGGAUGGACCACGACCAUGCGAUCUGAGCAUGAUUAAUGGCUGAGAUUCAAGUUGUGAUUCUUCUGGCAGUAGGGGAUCGUUCUCAGCUGCCUAUUAGACUAUUAGUAGUUUUUUCUCCCCCAAACGAUUCUUGGGCCUAAGACUAUGUUGAGCUUAGUGGUCGAAGUAAUUUGUGUUUUUUAGUUUGGUAAUCUAAGAGCAUUCCCAAUGGUAGGUUUUAGCACACUUUUAGUUAACUUUUAGUGAAAACACUUGCCAAUGGUAGCUUUUAACACACUUUUCAAGCAAAACACUUUUAACUCCUUGGCAAAUUUGCCAAGGAGUUAAAAGUGCCAUGUAGGAAUCCAUCCGCCACAAUUAGUGCGGUAUGGAUCUAUACCCCACAAUAAGUGCGGUAUGGAUCCAUACCCCACAAUUAGUACGGUAUGGACUCAUCUAAAAGAAGAUCCAUCCGCCACAAUGAGUGCGGUAUGGAUCCAUACCCCACAUAGAUUGCGGUUUCAAUAAUCCACCAUUGGAAACACUAAAACCCUUUUUUCACUAAAACCAUUGAAAACCCCAAAAUUCCUUAAAACCAUCCUAUGUGGCACCACUAAAAGUGUUUAGAGCAUUCCCAAUGGUAGGUUUUAAAUCACUUUUAACAACUUUUAAUAAAAAACUCUUGCCAAUAGUGGGUUUUAACGCAUUUUUCAAGCAAAACACUUUUAGAGCAUUUCCAAUGGUAGGUUUUAGCACACUUUUAGUGUAAACAGUUGCCAAUGGUAGCUUUUAACACACUUUUCAAACAAAACACUUUUAACUCCUUGGCAAAUUUGCCAAGGAGUUAAAAGUGCCACGUAGGAAUCCAUCCGCCAUAAUUAGUGUGGUAUGGAUCCAUACCCCACAAUGAGUGCGGUUUCAAUAAUCCACCAUUGGAAACACCAAAAUUCCUUAAAACCAUCUUAUGUGGCACCACUAAAAGUGUUUUACCAUUGGGAAUGCUCUCAUCUCCUUGGCAAAGAGUUAAAAGUGCCACAUAGAACCAUUUUAUUAAUUAAAAAUUAGAUUUCAUCACAAUGUACACUAUAUUUUUGGAGAAAAGUGAAACCUUAAAUUUUAACACUAUGUUAAAACCUUUUCUCUCUCUUAUGUGGCACCCUUAAAACCCUUUUACUAUUGAGAAUAAUCAUGUUCUUGAAAGUAGCAAUAAUCAUGUUCUUGAAAGUCAUUUAUUUCUCAAAUAAAUAAAUAAAUAAAUGCAUUGUGAAGAAUCAUUCAUAGCAACUGUUUGAUGCAAUUUCAACGGUGCUACAUAACCUCAUUUGCAACUAGCGACUGUUUGGUACAAUUUCAACAAUGCUACAUAACCUCAUUUGCAACUACAAUCUCUCUCUCUUCAACUGCAAAUCUUCAAUUUAAAAUUGUGCAAUAUUCAAAAUCUCACAGCUAUCAGUAACAUCAAAUGGUUACGGUGUAGACCACAUAUCCACAAAAUAUUUAUUUUCAAUAUCAUCUAUUAGUUUCUUGAGGACAUUUUCAUGAGCUAUAUAUAUGACUCCCAAGUCCCAAUAUUGGAAAAUAGCAAUACUGUCAUCUUAACUCUUAAGUUGGUCUCUAUAGAACAAAAUAUGGCCACUGGUAAGCUUGAGAUGGAAAAGGAAGCAAAGUGUAAUCCUCAGAAGUUCUACGGUAUGAUCAAGUACACUCUUCAUCACCUCCAUACUAUCUUCCCUGAGUCAUACAAGAGUAUUGAUAUACUUGAAGGAGAUGGUGAGAGUGUGGGUUCUGUCAGGCUUUGGAAAUAUGUCCUCCCAGGUAAAACUUGCAUAAUCACACAAGAGGAUGAUUAGACAUCAAAAUCUAUCUCAUCGUCUGGUUUCUUGAUUAUACUGUAUCUAACUUGUAUAUAUGAUGAUGAUUUUUACAGGGACAUCCGAAGUUUUGACUGCUAAGGAAAAGACUGAAGUGAUAGAUGAUGAAAACAUGUUGAUAGUUUGGAACAUAUACGAAGGAGAUCAUACAAAUCAUUAUAAUGGUUUUGUCCUGCUAAAGAUGCAAGUUGUUCCUAAUGGUGAAGGGAGCUUGGUAAAAUGGACUUUUGAGUAUGAAAAGCGCAAUGAGGGUGGACCAGAUCCACAACAGUUUAUGAAUAUGUUUGUCAUGUUUGGUGACAAGUUGGAUGCUCACCUUGCUGCCGAGGCCUAAAUGAAGUGCAAUACUGCAACCGGACCUCUGAAAUAAAUAAGUGAGACGAGGAACAUCUGUUCCAGACAUAGAAUGCUUUCGCAUAUAUAAGUUAUUUUGUACUUGUUAAAUAAGAGAAGUUAAUAUUCUUCUUUUCCUUGUUUGAGAAAUAUGGUGUCCUCUAUGGUUACUGUUUGAGAAGUUACUAUUUGUUCAAGUGUUAAAUAUGAUGAUCUCAUUUACAUCUAAUGCCCACAUAACUCGUUGCGAUGGAUGUUUGAUUUCUAUUACGUUGCAUUGUUUUCUAAGGUAAGAGACAAAGCGUCUAAGUUUAGUUGUCUUUGACAGGGAGCAUUACCACCAUAGUCCCACAUCGACAAGAUAUCAUGUUUGGUAGUGCUAUUUCCACAAUGAAAUGAGUGUGUAUGGUACGACCUUACUUGAACAGGAUCUGUUCUAUAGGGAAGUGCCUCUGUAUCCUUUAGUAAAAAGGAGACGGUAACCAAAGCUUGGUGGAUGAACCAGAACCGUGUGAUCAGAGCGUGAUUAAUGGCUGAGAUUCAAGCUGUGAAUCUUCUGGUUGUAGAGGAUCGUUCUCAGCUGCCUUAGUGGCUGAGAUGGUCACACGGUUGUCUGACAGGCUCAAAAUCUUUUUGCUUUUCUCCCCAAGUUUGAUGCAUUUUUCAAUUUAUGCAACUCUAAAUGGAUUCCAUAUAAAUGCAGUAUGAAAUUAUGCUCCAACUUUCUUGAUAACACAAACUGUUUUGGGCUAAUUGUGGUCCUGAUCAAGACUCUGACAUCUCUCAAGAAGAUGUUUAGGUGCUCCUAACUAUAGAUAUAUUGUAUUUGGAUGAACACUUUCGAGGAGUAGAGAUGAACAUUGAGCACCCUCAUUUAAGUAUCAGGAGUCCAUGUUAUUACCUCUAUUAUUAGAGGAUAAGAAGCUGCUGGCAAUACUUGAAGCUUGGUGGAUCAGCUGCUGCAGAGAGAACAUGCCUGUCCUCUGAUUGAGGGAUCUGAGCUCCAUUUGGAAGCAUUUCAGCCAGGUGUUGCUCCUAUGUCUACUGUAGAAACUACAAUCUGCACUACUAGUUGUGGUGAAGGGAUGUUUUUGUUGGGUUUACAGCUGUGGUCGUGGUAUAAACAUGAUGCCAAUGCUUCAUGUUAUAUCAAUAAAAUAUGCGCAAUUUACUUGUCCCAUAAGAAGAGGAAAAGGCAUAUUAACAACAUGGUGCCUUGUUAUCCCAAAAAAAAUAAAAACAAUUUGCUGCCUGCACUACUUAAUGAGAAGAAUUUUAUUAUGUUUUUGACUUAUCCAUAUAUCAACACAAACCACAUCAGCCAAACUCUAGCACCACAAUCCCAACAGCCAUGAAAAAAGUGGGAGGGACAAAAAGUAAAGAAAGGGGAAACGUGAGAAAGAAAAAUUCAUUUCCCCGAGCACUCGUAUUUUAUAAAGAGGGAGCUCUACUCUUUAAGUAAGAAAGCAGAGGGAAAAUAGAAUUAGCUGAGUUUCCUCUUCUCCAAUAUCAAACUUCUGAUUUUAUUGAGACACCGUUGAUCUAAUAUUACGUAGAGCCUCUGCAAUUCUCUAUAUCCCAAUAUCACAUAUCUGUCAACUUGAUCCUCAUAUUUCUCAUACAGUGCAGGAACAGUAAGAAGAAACACAAGACCUGCCAUACAGUCAUCGGUAGCACCAAAAAAUGGUAAGUGCAUAACUGAAAGACAGAAACUAGACCUAUAUAAAGUAGGAAGCAUCAAAACAUAAAGUCUCAACGAAGAAAAAGAUCAAUCUGCUGGCCUUCCUACAUUAGUUCCAAUAUAUUAGUGUACAACCUAAAUUUUUCAGUCCUGAAUAGUUUAUGUCUACUGCCUUCAUGGUAGGUUUAGGUAUUUAUACGUUAUGAAAUACAACAGCAUUAUAUAAAGUGAGGUUUAGAAACUUACUUGUGUAACCCAAAGUAAGGAAAUCAGUCCAGCCCCCAACAACAGAGAUUAGCCACAUACACCCUGCAACUUUGAAAAACAUCUUCGAGUCCUUUCCCAGACAUAUAUCUCGAGAAACUAAGAGCAAUGCGUUAAUGCGAGAACGAAUGAAAGCCGCUGCUUCAUUUAUUAACUCUUCUGACAACUGUAGAUCUGGUAGAGGAGGAGGAGGUCUGUAAUCAAGAUCAAUUCAGACAAUAAGUUUCUGGAUGAAGACACCUAAAUUUGCACAUUUCACUCCACAACUAACUAUUUACUGCAAGAAUAUGAAAAACAACGAGAAAAAAAAUGAAAAAAUACAGUCAAAAAUCUUAUUUUCCUUUUUGCUACAAGGAAACACAUUGGUUAAUAUCAGUAUUGAGACUGGCUCAAUGAGAGGGGUGCUACCAUUGAGCCACAGGCUCAUUCGCUUUGUUUACUGGGACUAAAUCCCUGGGGAGGCUAGCACAGCUAUCCACCGCCAUGACCUCCCACUUAAGGCAGAAUUGUCUAAUUGGGGAAUCGAACCCCUGACCCGUGCGUCCAACUACACUGACUACUUACAUGUCCAGAUUCUUUAUAGCUCUAACAUGUAAUAACUCUUGGUGCUAAGACCAGAGUAUAGAAGUGUGAGAUUCUUUUACAGAAAUUGUUCUUGUUAUAAUGUGAUUUUCAGGCAUUAAGCCCACUUAACCUCUAUGCAACAAUAAGUUAAUAUCGCUAUCUCAGAAAUCGUGUAAAAUAUGAGAAACAAACCCUAUUGAGGAGACUUAUAACUUUAUCAUUUUUGGAAUGUAGUUUGAAUGUACGCGAAAACCAGUAAACAAAGGAUCUAUAAGCAAUGAUUUCACUAUAUAGAGUUCUAUGAUCUAUCUCUACAAACAAACUUUUAAGGGACCAUAGGCUCAGCAAUGAAUUAGCUAUUCUGUGAAGCAAAUACUGUACAUUCCAAAUUGAGUUCAAGAUAAUGUAGUCUGAGAUUUUAUCGAUAUAUUUUAAAUUUCGACAAAAGCUGAAAAGAAACAGGUUACCAAGAACAAUAAAAUUGGUAGCUAGAUUCACUAACAAAGUUCAUAUCAUUCAAUAUAUAUUCUGUAUAACCAGCAUUUAUACGGGAUGACGAGAUCAUAUAAAUCGAACUCCUCCACUACUCACAUUGUAGUACAAUAGGUAACAUAGUUAUCAAUAAUACCUGUUGAGAAUCUCUGCAGAUUUUGCCCAAAGAAAAAGAAUAGUAAUUAACAGCAACAGAACAUUAAAAACCAGUGAAAGCAAAGUAUAACCAGAUUUCUCAAAAACCACCCAAGCAGCAAGUGUUACCACUAGUAACCCCACACUUAAAUUUUUUCUUCUCCAUAACAUCACAUCUGCAACUAUUAAAUCAAUAAACAACAAAAUAAAUACCAUCAUUAUUCAUUAAAACCCCAAAGUAAGAUCUGAUCAUCUAAUUAACAUAAUUAAAAAUCCUAAUCAAUUUCACUUACUGAAACCUUCACCAAGGAUCUGAUGUAGUGUUCUUUCUCUGUUAAACAAUCUAUGAUUUGAAGAAGAAGAAGAAGAAGAAGAAGAAGAAUCCAUGAUGGACCAAGUAAAGAAGAAAAUAAUAGGUGGGUUUGUUUGUUAGAAGAAUUGGAUUGAAAGGAAAAGUGGUUUUCAGGUUUUAUAUUAUAAACAAAGUUGAAAAUAAUUGGCGGUUUUGAAAUCCAGCCUAAAAGCUUGAAACCACUCAUUUUGUUUUCAGUCACAACCUUUUCUUUUGGCUUUCUUCGAAAAAAAAAGUUUUUGUGUAAGAAAAUGGUUUAUGGCGCAAGGGAACUGUUUGGGCUUAAAUAUGGGCUUGGGCUGUGUGGGGUCAUAGAACAGAAUACCGGAACACGUGCAGCAAAGAUCAACGGCUGUGAUUCUCUCCCGCCGAAAAUAACAAACUCCAACAAACUGAAGGCGCUUAACGUACGCACGAUGCGCAUUACGCACCUUCUAAACCUUCACUAGAGUGCACACUUCACACCCUUGCACAUUCUAAAAUCUUCUUUCUGCAACAAAUUCCAGAGAAAGAGAGAGAAGAAAACACACAAACUUGAAAACUCUGAAUCAAGAAAGUAAAACAUGUCUCCUUCUUCUUCUUCUUCUUCUUCUUCUUCCAAGAAUCUGUCAAUCUUGUUCAUCUUCUUCAUCAUCAUCUUCUUCUCAUUCUUAGUUCCAUCUGCUGGAACUGAAUCAAAUCAUCCAUCAAUUGGAAUUACAUACAACAAUAGAGGAGGAACUACUACACAUCAAAUCGUUUCACUUCUUCAAUCACUCAAAAUCAACUCAAUUAGAUUACCUGAUUCUGAUCCAGAGAUUAUUCGAAGUUUUUCUUACUCUGGUAUUUCUCUUCUUCUUUCAAUCCCAAAUUCAUUAAUUACACAAAUUGCUUCAAAUCAAUCUGAAGCUCUUCAUUGGCUUAAUCAUCAUGUUACCCCUUUUUACCCUAGAGUUCAUAUUUCAACAAUUUCUGUUGGUAACAAUGUUCUUGAUGAAAAAGAAAAAGAAGAAGAAGAAGAAGCUACUUCGGAUUCAAAUCAUUCUGAUUUUCUUCUCUCUGCAAUGGAAAAUGUUCGUCAAGCUCUUGAUGAACUUGGAAUUGAUAAGAUUAAAGUUUCAACUACUUUCUCAUUCAUUAAUGUCAUUACUACUGCUUUCCCACCUUCUUCUGCAGAAUUUCAACAACCUUUAGCUGAAUCUUUGAUGAAACCACUUUUGGGUUUCUUGUCUGAGACGAAUUCUUCUUUCUUGAUUAAUUUGUAUCCUUACAAUUUGUAUCGGAAUAACCCUGAGAUAACGAUUGGGUAUGCAAUAUUUCAAGAACAUCCCUUUGUUUUUCGUGAUGAUUUGUUGACUGGAGUUCGAUAUCGAAAUCUCUUCGAUAUGAUGGUUGAUUCAGUCCUUACUGCAAUGGCAUUACAAGGUCAUGAAAAUAUACCCUUGAUUGUGACAGAGACUGGGUGGCCUAGUUCUGACGAAUCGAAGGAUAUGGAUGCCAAUCAUGUUUAUGCUGAGUUGUACAUUAAGGGAUUGGUAAGGCAUUUGAAAUCAGGAUUUGGAACACCACUGAGAAGAGAUGGAGUGGCAGAGACUUAUGUAUUUGAGUUGGUUGAUGAUGAAACAAAGGACAAUGCGCAAACUAGGCGUCACUGGGGGAUUCUGUAUCCGAAUAUGACAAAGAAGUAUGAUCUUGAUUUCUCAGGUUCUAUUGGAAUGUCCGAUAUGUCGAUGAUGCCGUUCGGGAUUUGGUUGUUUGCGGUGAUGUUGAUGCGGUAAUUGAAUGGGGGUUUCUAUGCCCAAAGCAAAUGUUGCUUCAGGUUUCAGCCUUUCUGAUUUUUGCUAGUUGUUGUUUAGCUUUCAUAUAGGUGUAUUGAGUGUUGUUAGUCAAAUGUUGUAUAUGGGUUCUACUGAAAGAUAUCUGUAUGUACUACACAUUCCGUUGUGUCAUGAAGUUUGAAAAAGUAAUGAACUUGAAACGUUUCGAGUCUCUACUGAAUUUGUGCAAUUUUCUUAUUAACAUGUUAAGGGUGUUAGAGCUCAAUAGGCUUUAAGUUUACUGCAUUGAAUCUGUAGAUAGUUCUGACUUCCAGUUCUGGAAAGUUUGAGAUAUCUAUAAGCUAAGUAAAGCAUUGCAAUUGCAGAGCAAAACUUGCUUGAUUUUCAUGAAUAUAGGUUCUUGAAAUGGCACUGGCAACAAAGGAUUGAUUAUAAUUGCUCCUUUCAAUCUUUGAUAGUGAAGCUAAGACCACCUAAAACCAAGACAGCCAAAGCCCUUGAAAACAUCAUUUUCCGUUUUAUUUACUGGCAAACUUUCUGUAAAUUUUGAUUCAACAAUAGAACUUAUAUUUGCUUUCUUUUGCUCUGAUUUUCAUUUCCAACUAUAACCAAAUUAGCUGUUUUCUUUAUAACUAUGCUUUCAUUGUUUCAUUUUGGUUAUUGCCCUUGAUAGAUCUGCAACUUAAAAUUUAUCUUAUCAGUUUUAAGUACAUAUCAUCACAAUAUUCAAGUUCCAAACACAGUAGACGAUCCCUCAAAAGGAACUUAAGAGUAGGGAUUUUAGUUUGUGCUGAAUAUGAAUUCAAGUGCUUCUUGCAGUACAAUAAACCUCGCUGUUGUGAGAUACAAUUAGGUGUCAAUUAGAAAGAGCUGUAUUGGCUCAUCAGUACUAACCUACAACCUGAAGGAAUUUCUUCUUGGUUUUGACCAAGUUGAACAAAACAUAAGAAGUGUCUAGUCAUCUACAAGACCUGAAGACCUUACUCUCGGCUUCGGCCAGAACAGCAGAGAUAAGAGGAAAAUAUGGUGUUGCAGGAUGUUCAUACCUUUGACAUGUGAAAUUGGUGGAGAAAAAGCGUGAAAAAAGUUUUAAAACCUGACAGACAACCGCAUGACCAUCUCAGCCAGGAAGAGAUUCACAGCUAGAAUCUCAGCUGUUAAUCAGGCUCUGAUCACACGAUCGUGGUCAUCCACCAGACUUUUGUUUCCUUCUUUUUACUGAAGGAUACAGAGGUACUUCCCUAUAGAACAAAUCCUGUUCAAGGCUUGAACUUCAAGCAAGGUUGAACCAUACACUCUCAUUUCUCUUGUGGAAAUAGCUUCGUUGAAGAUGUUAUUUCGUAGAAGACUAUGAAACAUAAUUGAAAUCAAACAUCCAUGGAAAUGAAUUGUCUGGGCUUGGGAUGUGAAUAAGAUCAUAUAUAUGUAUAUAUACUGUCGAAGACCCCAUAUUGAUAUUAUUUCUCAAACAAGGAAGGGUUCCGACUUAACAAAUCACAACUUAUAAAUAUAAUAUAAAAAUAAAUAAAAAACUUAUACAUAGUGAAAGCACUCGAUCCAUAUGUUCAUAUUUCACUUAUUUAUUUCAAAGGUCCGUCACACUUCAUUUAGGCUUUGGCAAUAAGACGAGCAUCCAACUUGUCAUUAAACAUGCCAAGCAUGUUCAUAAACUGUUGUGGAUCUCUUUUACAUUGUGUUGAUUUGCAGUUGAAGAGAGCUAAGUUAUAGUUCAAUUGCAUGUUGAGAACAGUAGCAGUCUUUAGCCCAAGAAUCGUUUGGAGCAAAAAGUUUUUGAGCCUGUCAGACAACCGUGUGACCAUCUCAGCCACCAAGGCAGCUGAGAACAAUCCUCUACAGCCAGAAGAUUCACAGCUUGAAUCUCGGCCAUUAAUCAUGCUCUGAUCACACGGUCCUGGUUCAUCCACCAAGCUUUGGUUACCGUCUCCUUUUUACUCAAGGAUACAGAGGCACUUCCCUAUAGAACAGAUCCUGUUCAAGUAAGGUCG
rnacentral:lncRNA from 1 species